rnacentral:ncRNA from 2 species
AAUAUUGCGCAGUAAUUAGGUGCUUCUAGCUAUUGGUUAGAAGAUAAUAGGGAAUCAGGUGCAAAUCCUGAACGGGUCCGCCACUGUAACUGGCAGAUUAAGCUUGGUAUACCACUUGGAUACUUAAGUAUCCAGGGAAGGUAAAGCUUGACGAUAAGCCAGAAGUCAGGAGACCUACCUAAUUGCUUAGCCUACU